GCUACACAACAGCCUCAGUAGAUUUUCUCUGUGUGCACAUUUCUCUGUUCUCAGCAGUGAGAAAACCCGGCUAUGUGAAAUGAGGGCUUAGGGCUUAGAGAACCAGUACCAUCUGAAGAGGGAGGAUUAGCACCCACGCUGGAGAGAUGCCCCGAGGUCACGCAGGAUUUUCCCAGUUAACAACUCUGGCUUUGCAAGGAGCUUCAAGAAAACCCUUCAUGGAAAAAUAAUAAUUCUACUUUGUCUCAUGCUUAAUUUUUUAAAAGGAAGGACGGAAGUUAGUAAUGAGAGGUGGACUUUGAAUCAUCGGGACCUUCACCUGGAGGCAGCCCCAGAAGACUCCGCAGAGCGAACCGUACUCACCGCUCUAGGAGUCCCAGCUGAAAACUCCGACGUAAAUUACUUUUCCUCUCCGACAGCCUAAUGGCUAUAUUACCUGUACAGAAUGGAUUGGAAGUCUAUGUGAAGAGUCUGAAAAGAGUAGCAUCAGACAAAGGAACGAUGCCAGAAUCUGAAGCACCAGGGUUCAACCUGGAGACACACAUCCACAGAUCGCCUCCUCUCGGUAUAACUUUCUGAGAACCGAGUGAUGGGUAGAAUACCUCUGGGUGCCAAUGGCUUCUAAGCUGCACCAAGGGGACACACCUAAAGAAUUCUGCAAAGACUUUGAAAAUUGAGAUGACAUUGGAAGGAGGAUCCAGAGAAGACACGCUAGAACCUGUAGCCUGAAUUUAGUCACUUGCCCAUGGAAUAAAAAAAAUCUCAAUAUUUUCCAUAGGAUUUAAAUUAGACACAGAAUUUUGUGACAUAAUAUUAAAACUUCCCAGAAUACAAUUCAGAACUAUUCAGAAUACAAAGAACCAUGAAUAUUUCAACUUAUACAAAAAAAUGCAACACUUAUCAAAUCCUAGCUACACUACUUUUUAUCUGUGACCACAAAGCAGUUACAUAACCCACUAUUUCUACGUUGAUUGUAGGGAAAGUGGAAAUAAUAGAACAUAUCCUCAAGUUAUCAUGCUAUCAUAUACAAUAUUAGAAAAGCUGUGUUCACUAUUCAUUAAAUUGUAUACCUUAAAUAUGUGGCAUUUGUUGUAUGUCAAUUAUACCUAAAUAA